AUUGUGUCGGACUCGUCCGACCAUAAUAUUUGGUCGGACGACUUUCAGGUGGUUCCAAUUUUUUUCAGUUAGUCUUAAUUUUUUUUCAGGUAGUCUUAAUUUUUUUUCGGGUAGUCUUCAUUUUUUUUCAGGUAGUCUUCAUUUUGUUUUCAGUUAGUCUUCUUUUUUUUUCAGUUAGUUUUUGUACUUCAGUUAGACUUACUUUGGGUUUCAGUUGGUCUUUAUUCUUUUUCAGGUAGUCUUCAUUUUUUUUCAGGUAGUCUUCAUUUUUUUUCAGGUAGUCCAACUGAAAAAAAACAAAGUCCAACUGAAACAAAACAAAGUCCAACUGAAAGAAACACAAAGUCCAACUGAAAGAAACACAAAGUCCAACUGAAAGAUAACAAAGUCCAACUGAAAGAAAACAAAGUCCAACUGAAAUAAAACAAAGUCCAACUGAAAAGAAAACAAAACACUAACCUCGAGUUCAGGGCCAUGUCAUUCAUACCCAAGCAUUUCUCAAGUAGUUGAAGGAGAUUUCUCAACUGAAAGAAGCCUUAAUUUGAGUUAACUGCUUGCGUCUUAGAAAUGCGGUCUUUUAGUGGAGGUCAAGGUGAAACUUUCAAUCUGCAUCAAGCUUUAAGCAAGACUUGCUAUCUCCGAUAGAUCUACGUUUGUCCUAGCCUCGGAUAGGGCAGUAAUCCUACACUAGUGGCAAUUUUCUGCUUCCCUCCCUGUAAAUUUGUACCAGAUAAAGCCAACUGAUCUUUAUCUUGGCUGCUGAUAUAGUACAUCUUGUUGAAUUUUACAAUCAAUGUAGAAGGCAAAUGUGUAAUCAAAGAGCAAACUUUUAGUUGGAUUAUAGUAUUCUAUAUACGAUGGUUUGAAUUCUCUUUGUUCUGAUUUGUGAGAGCCCACACAACCAUGAAUAUAUCUUUUAUAUGUAUUUGUAAUGUCA